rnacentral:rRNA from 1 species
GAUGAACGCUGGCGGCGUGCUUAACACAUGCAAGUCGAGCGAAGCACUUAUGAAAGAUUCUUCGGAUGAUUUCAUUUGUGACUGAGCGGCGGACGGGUGAGUAACGCGUGGGUAACCUGCCUCAUACAGGGGGAUAACAGUUGGAAACGACUGCUAAUACCGCAUAAGCGCACAGUACCGCAUGGUACCGUGUGAAAAACUCCGGUGGUAUGAGAUGGACCCGCGUCUGAUUAGCUAGUUGGUGGGGUAACGGCCUACCAAGGCGACGAUCAGUAGCCGACCUGAGAGGGUGACCGGCCACAUUGGGACUGAGACACGGCCCAAACUCCUACGGGAGGCAGCAGUGGGGAAUAUUGCACAAUGGGGGAAACCCUGAUGCAGCAACGCCGCGUGAGUGAAGAAGUAUUUCGGUAUGUAAAGCUCUAUCAGCAGGGAAGAAAAUGACGGUACCUGACUAAGAAGCCCCGGCUAACUACGUGCCAGCAGCCGCCGCGG